GAUGAACGCUGGCGGCGUGCCUAAUACAUGCAAGUCGAGCGAACAGACGAGGCUCUUGCUCCUCUUACGUUAGCGGCGGACGGGUGAGUAACACGUGUAUAGCCUACCUAUAGGGCUGGGAUCACUUCGGGAGACCGAAUCUCAUACCGGUCAAUAUAUUGAACCGCAUGGUUCAAUAGUGAAAGACGGUUUUGCUGUCCCUUAUAGAUGGAUCCACGCCGCAUUAGCUAGUUGGUAAGGUAACGGCUUACCAAGGCAACGAUGCGUAGCCGACCUGAGAGGGUGAUCAGCCACACUGGAACUGAGACACGGUCCAGACUCCUACGGGAGGCAGCAGUAGGGAAUAUUCCGCAAUGGGCGAAAGCCUGAUGCAGCCACGCCGCGUGAGUGAUGAAGGUCUUCGGAUCGUAAAGCUCUGUAAGUAGGGAAGAACAAAAGUGAGUGUAAAUAUGCAUGUCUUGACGGUACCAAAACAAAAAGCAACGGCUAACUACGUG
rnacentral:rRNA from 1 species